rnacentral:rRNA from 1 species
GACGAACGCUGGCGGCGUGCUUAACAUAUGCAAGUCGAACGGAAAGGCCUCUUUCGGGGGGUACUCGAGUGGCGAACGGGUGAGUAACACGUGAGUAACCUGCCCUUGACUUUGGGAUAACUUCAGGAAACUGGGGCUAAUACCGGAUAGGAGCUCCUGCUGCAUGGUGGGGGUUGGAAAGUUUCGGCGGUUGGGGGUGGACUCGCGGCUUAUCAGCUUGUUGGUGGGGUAGUGGCUUACCAAGGCUUUGACGGGUAGCCGGCCUGAGAGGGUGACCGGCCACAUUGGGACUGAGAUACGGCCCAGACUCCUACGGGAGGCAGCAGUGGGGAAUAUUGCACAAUGGGUGGAAGCCUGAUGCAGCAACGCCGUGUGCGGGAUGACGGCCUUCGGGUUGUAAACCGCUUUCGCUCAUGACGAAGCUUUGUGUGACGGUAGUGGGUAAAGAAGCACCGGCUAACUACGUG